rnacentral:lncRNA from 1 species
GACAUUAGUUCCAUGAGCCAUAAAAAAAGUGACAUUCCUUUGGGGAUUUACUGCCCCUGAAUCAUGUGAGAGCCCCAGAAACAAAGCAUUUCUCAAAUAUGCAUCAUUUUAGGUAGAUGAGAAAGAAGCCACAGUCACCUCCGCCCUCUGGACUGCAGAGAGCUUAGCUCACAUCGGCAUUUGCAUCCAACAGCACAACAUGGAAAGCAGUACACAACAAGAACAGGCAGAAGUGUCUUCAUAAACACAUUUUGCCUAAAUAUUCUGUAUUAACCACAGCCAUCCACUUACAGGGUGUUAG